AGCUUAAAGAAAUUAAUUUUAGGUUAAACCUGCCCUGUGAAUUUUUUUAACGGCUGCGGUACUCUGACCGUACUAAGGUAGCAUAAUCAAUUGGCUUUUAAAUGGAGUCUGGAAUGAAAGGGAAAUUGGAGUUUAACUUUCUUAAAUAAAUUUUAUUGAAUUUACUAUAAAAGUGAAAAAGCUUUUUUAUGAAAAAAGACGAGAAGACCCUUGGAGUUUAGAAAAUUUUGUUGGGGCGACAUUAAAAAUAAAACUUUUAAAUUUAUAAUUAACAACUUUUAGUUUUAAUUUAUAAACUACCCAAGGGAUAACAGCAUAAUUCUUUUAGAGAUUGUGACCUCGAUGUUGGACUAGGAAAGAUAAUAACUAGUAGUUAUUAUUUUAAUGUUCUGUUCGAACUUUAUUCUCCU
rnacentral:rRNA from 1 species